UACGUAGGGUCCGAGCGUUGUCCGGAUUUAUUGGGCGUAAAGAGCUCGUAGGCGGUUCCGCAAGUCGGAUGUGAAAACUCAGGGCUCAACCCGGAGACGCCAUCUGAUACUGCGGUGACUGGAGUCUGGUAGGGGAUCACGGAAUACCUGGUGUAGCGGUGAAAUGCGCAGAUAUCAGGAGGAACACCCGUAGCGAAGGCGGCACUCUGGGCCGAUACUGACACUGAGGAGCGAAAGCGUGGGGAGCGAACAGG
rnacentral:rRNA from 1 species